UACGAAGGGGGCUAGCGCUGUUCGGAAUUACUGGGCGUAAAGCGCGCGCAGGCGGCUAUCCAAGUCAGUGGUGAAAGCCCGGAGCUCAACUCCGGAACUGCCAUUGAAACUGUUUAGCUUGAGGAUGAGAGAGGUGAGUGGAAUUCCCAGUGUAGAGGUGAAAUUCGUAGAUAUCGGGAGGAACACCUGUGGCGAAAGCGGCUCACUGGACCACAACUGACGCUGAGGCGCGAAAGCUAGGGGAGCAAACAGG
rnacentral:rRNA from 1 species